CACCGCGGUUAUACGAGAGGCUCAAGUUGACAGACAACGGCGUAAAGCGUGGUUAAGGAAAACAUACAACUAAAGCGGAACCUCCUCCUAGCUGUUAUACGCUUCCGAGGAAGUGAACCCCAACUACGAAAGUGGCUUUAUCUAACCUGAACCCACGAAAGCUAAGAAA
rnacentral:rRNA from 1 species